rnacentral:rRNA from 1 species
AACGAACGCUGGCGGCAUGCCUAACACAUGCAAGUCGAACGAGACCUUCGGGUCUAGUGGCGCACGGGUGCGUAACGCGUGGGAACCUGCCCUUAGGUUCGGAAUAACUCCCCGAAAGGGGUGCUAAUACCGGAUAAUGUCUUCGGACCAAAGAUUUAUCGCCUUUGGAUGGGCCCGCGUUGGAUUAGCUAGUUGGUAGGGUAAAAGCCUACCAAGGCGACGAUCCAUAGCUGGUCUGAGAGGAUGAUCAGCCACACUGGGACUGAGACACGGCCCAGACUCCUACGGGAAGCAGCAGUGGGGAAUAUUGGACAAUGGGCGAAAGCCUGAUCCAGCAAUGACGCGUGAGUGAUGAAGGCCUUAGGGUUGUAAAGCUCUUUUACCCGGGAUGAUAAUGACAGUACCGGGAGAAUAAGCUCCGGCUAACUCCGUG